UACGAAGGGGGCUAGCGUUGCUCGGAAUUACUGGGCGUAAAGCGCACGUAGGCGGCUUUCUAAGUCGGGGGUGAAAUCCUGGAGCUCAACUCCAGAACUGCCUUCGAUACUGGAGAGCUCGAGUCCGGGAGAGGUGAGUGGAACUGCGAGUGUAGAGGUGAAAUUCGUAGAUAUCUGGAGGAACACCGGUGGCGAAGGCGGCGUCCUGGACCAACACUGACACUGAUGAGCGAAAGCCAGGGGAGCAAACGGG
rnacentral:rRNA from 1 species